GAGUUUGAUCAUGGCUCAGAAUGAACGCUGGCGGCGUGCUUAACACAUGCAAGUCGUGCGCGAAAGUGGCUUCGGCCAUGAGUAGAGCGGCGAACGGGUGAGUAACACGUGGGUAACCUGCCUCGAGGUGGGGGAUAACCUGGGGAAACUCGGGCUAAUACCGCAUCCUCUGUGCGGUCGCGAGACCGUUCAGCAAAGCUGGCCUCUGCUUGCAAGCUAGCGCCUCGAGAGGGGCCCGCGUCUGAUUAGCUGGUUGGUGAGGUAACGGCUCACCAAGGCGACGAUCAGUAGCCGGCCUGAGAGGGCGAUCGGCCACACUGGGACUGAGACACGGCCCAGACUCCUACGGGAGGCAGCAGUGGGGAAUAUUGGACAAUGGGCGCAAGCCUGAUCCAGCAACGCCGCGUGGAGGACGAAGGUCUUCGGAUCGUAAACUCCUGUCAGUUGGGAAGAAAGGGCGGCGAUGAACAAUCGUCGUCUCUGACGGUACCAGCAGAGGAAGCCCCGGCUAACUCCGUGCCAGCAGCCGCGGUAAUACGGAGG
rnacentral:rRNA from 1 species